ensembl:lncRNA
GUUUUUAAUUAUUAUUAUUUAUUUAUUUUUUAAACAUUUUGACAUUUUAUUUAUGGUAUAUCUAUUUUUUUUUACCUUUUAUCAACCUUGAUAAUAUAUACUCAUUGAUUGUUAAUAAGUGUAUAUUAAAGGAUUUAUUAACCUUAAAGGGACUCUUACCUUUGUUGCAUUUUUACACUUUUUUUGGAUAAGGUUAAAUUGGUAUUAAUAAGGUAAUAACACUCUAAUAUGCAAGACAGACCAACCAGGAGUAAAAACAAACAAUUAUUUUACUCUCAUAAUAUUUAGUGAAAACCUCAACCAAUAAAAUUCUUCGGACCGAAUGACCUUAUUGGCCGACAGACCUGUCUGUUUGCUGCAUGGAUAUAUAAGGUUUUCCGUCUGCUUCUUGUGGCGCAUUCGGGCCCGCGUCAUCAAGGCGCGUCCUCAACUAGAGGGUUUGUUUUGAUUCCACGGCAGACAGUAGCGAGUAGCGACCGUAGCGACUGACGAUGGCAGACCAAAGUGGUCCACGGCGUACUGAAACUGCACCAUUCACUCCGAUUAGGGGACUCAUCUCGGACUCAGACUCACAGAGUUACCCUCCUCUGGAGCCUCAGGAAGACCUCCAGACUGUUGGCCACCAACUGCACCAUUCAGUCCGACAAGGGGACCCGAUUCGGCCUCAGAAGCCAAGUGGUCCCGCUCCCCUGGAUGAUUCUCAGGACCUCCAGACCGUUGGCAACCAACAGCACCACUCAGUCCGAUUAGGGGACCCGUUUCGGACUCAGACGCGAAGUUGUCCCGCUACUCUGGAGCUCCAGGAAGACCUCCAGACCGUUGGCACCCAACCGCACCACUCAGUCCGAUUAGGGGACCCAUUUCGGACUCAGACGCGACGUUGUCCCGCUACUCUGGAGCUACAGGAAGACCUCCAGACCGUUGGCACCCAACCGCACCACUCAGUCCGAUUACGGGACCCAUUUCGGACUCAGACGCGACGUUGUCCCGCUACUCUGGAGCUACAGGAAGACCUCCAGACCGUUGGCACCCAACCGCACCAUUCAGUCCGAUUAGGGGACCCAUUUCGGCCUCAGACGCUACGUUGUCCCGCUACUCUGUUUGUAAUGCUCAUACACCUUUCUUAUACUCAGUGUAUCACACGAAGCCCAUAAAAUUACAGUGAGCCACCUGCUAAAUUUCUUGUUUACUAGACCCCUGGUAGAUAUUAUGACCCCUGGGAGUCUAAACAUAACCCAUGGGAGUCUAAACAUAACCCAUGGGAGUCUAGAACUUUUGUACUGUAGCGACCCUGGGACAGUUAAAUAGUUUGUGUGUUAUGUGUUACAUUAUAUUUCGUUGUCCGCUAUGCCAGUUGUUCUAUGUGCAUGUAUUGUAAUGUUCUUCUUGUCAAUCAGCGUGGGGGCGAAUCAUUAGGUCAGCUGGGGGAGGGCCUUGGAAGAACAGGAGGGUGGGGGCCUGCACGCGAGUGAGACCGUGUUGGGGGUUGCCGGGGUAACCGGGGUUUGUUUUGUGUCGGUUUUCUGCCGUUGGUUACAAUGUUACGGGUUUCAGUGACCUGGUUUUGGUUCAUUAAAACUACCUUCAACUACUAAUGACUCGACAUCAUUAUGUCACCGGCGAGGUCGUUACAGUACUCUAAAAAAUAACGCUUAGUU